CUUGCCUUACUGCUUUGGUGUGUUUUAGGGAGUUUUAAAUCACGCGGUAGCAACUGCUCUUUUUCUCAUGGAUUCAAGGCAGCCUAAGUGAACCAAGCUG